rnacentral:tRNA from 1 species
AAUCACAUAGUUUAAUAAAAAUAGUUGCUUUGCAUGUAACAGAUAUUGCUUGUAUUUGUGGUUA